UACGUAGGUCGCAAGCGUUGUCCGGAUUUACUGGGCGUAAAGAGCGCGCAGGCGGCUGGUCAAGUCCGAUGUGAAAUCUCCCGGCUCAACUGGGAAACUGCAUCGGAAACUGAUCGGCUUGAAGGUGGGAGAGGGUAGUGGAAUUCCGGGUGUAGUGGUGAAAUGCGUAGAGAUCCGGAGGAACCCCAGAGGCGAAGGCGGCGCCCUGGCUCGCAACUGACGCUCAGACACGACAGCAUGGGGAGCGAACGGG
rnacentral:rRNA from 1 species